rnacentral:lncRNA from 1 species
AUCAAUAUAAAAGCAUCAACAAGCACACUCAUCAAAUCAUCAUCAACCCAUUGCAUCAAAUAUAAGUUUUAAACCAAGUACAUCAACACCUAUUCUAAAAACAGAAGCAAAUAAAGCAAAAAUUAAAAAGAUAGGUUUAGAAAACUGGGUUGCCUCCCCGUUAGAGCUUGUUUAGCGUCACGAGCCUGACUGAAAAAUCCUCCAGUAUCCUUCACUAGAUGCACAUCUUUCUCAUUAGCACCCAUCAGUACAU